rnacentral:lncRNA from 1 species
GCAGAAGGGAUGGAGACACUUGCUGAGCCUAUAGUAGUAGUUCUUAACUUUGACUGUUCCAUCAGAAUCAAACGGAAUUGACCAGCUGACCAGCUGGCUAAGUACCCAAAUGUGUGUGGUGAGGGUGAGACUUAAAAACAGAGCUCAACAUCUGAAAUCUAGAAAAAUUUGGUGCCAGUGUUCUUCAUACGAAGUUAGUGAUGCGCUGCCAGUAUUGCAACAGCAUCCUCCUGGGACACAUUUCUAAUGAUGGACAGUCUGUAUCUGCCUCCUGCCAGCUGCAUUGCAAACAUAAUAUGCUCUUUGCAGUUUCAAUCAAAAUGAAAUUCUUCAUGGAAAACUGUACUGUAACUGGAAGUAUUUGAAAAUCAAAUGCUUCACAGCAGGAACUGUUUCUGGCAGCUUGGUGAACCAAGAAAGGCAAUAUUCUUCUGGGAAACAUUGCCUUGAGAGACACAACAUGAAUUACAACAUCAUGAUGUAUUCAGCCAGAUGUCUGCAAGACAGAAAAUCACGUGACUGAGCAAGGCAUGUGAAUGUUCUUAAAGGGGGAGAAAUAGAAAAGAAAAACCAAACAUGCAUCAGAUAUUUCCUUUUUGCAUCACAUUAUUCCCAAUCAUAUGGAUGCCUUAUGUUUAUAACUUGCCAAUUAUGAAUUUCCCCUCAUGUAUAUUAAACUUAAGGAUCACUAUAAUUUUAAUCUUGUUAACAAAUUUGCUGUUUGUCUAUAUCUAUUUAGGAGAUUAGCAUCCAGGGCUCAUUAGGUAUCUGUUAGGAUGGUUGUUAGGGCAUAGUGAGAAAUUAUUUUUUGGCACUCACAACAAAUGUAUAUGGAUAUACAUUUAGUUUCUUGGGAUCCUAGUCCAUGUAUUUGAAAAGUAUAUGUACUUGACGAUCCUGAGCAAAACUGGAAUCAUUUGAAUUAAUUCAUCUUUUUUUUUCACAAUUGGCAAUCUCACGCUCAGUAUAUUAAUACAUAUUCACUAAAUAAUCAUAGUGUAGUUUGUAGUUUCUCAGUUGCACAGAAAUGGUUGGGUUCUUUCAGGGAUCCUUACUUGAAGAUAAGGAUCAGAGCACUAUUAAGGAAAGGGAGGAUAAUCCUGAAGUGUGGGAGGGGAUGGUCAUGGAUUUACCUAUUUUUACUAUUUGUUUUAUUUACUCUAUUUCUAACAACCCAAUCACUUCUCCAGUGGCAAAGGCCUUUGGCAUUUGGUAGGCACCCAAUGCAUAAUUGCUGAUGAAAGAAUGAAUUCUAUUGCCAGGGCAUCCAUUUCAUUUUCUCUGCAGCCACACCAUCAGCAUGGCAACUGCCCCGACAGCACAUUCUUUUCAUGAUUGUUUUAAAUUUCUUAUGCUAUUUUCCGUAAGGUAGUGGUCUAUAUAAUUUUUAGUCAUGCACUCCUAUUAAUUAAGUUUUGUGCAUGUAGUCUCUAAAUACAUAUUUUACAAAUAAGAUAUUCUGUUGCUUUAUAAAAUAUAGUUAAUCAGAAGAAUGAGAUUGUUAAUAACAAUUCUAAUAAUUAUUUCUCCAUUUUCAUGGACUGUCUUGCUAACCUUCCUUGUACACUGUAUUCUGGAGAACCUUGGCUGUUGAAAGCAUAAAGGAAGAAGAAUGCAGUUUUUGCCUUGGGGAGCUUACAUCUUAUCUGGUAUACCAGAUAAACACAAUGAAGGACAACACAACGGUAAACAAGGUAUGGCUAUCAGAAGAAUCAAGAUGAAUGAGCGUCCAGACCAUUGAAGGGAAAGAAGUCUGGCUGAUGAAAAUGAGCUCUGCACUGAAUCCAGGCCAUGUUUUGAGGUUUCCAUUGUUUUUGGCUCAGCCUAGAAAUUGGAUUAUUGCUCUUCAUACCACUGGAGGCCUGCAGCCCAACCUCUGACCCAAGCUAUCACAGAAAACAGGGAAACACAAACUGAAAAUUAUAACAAUGCUCUUCAAGCUCAACAGAGAGAUAGUCAGACACGUAAUCACCACGGAGAGAUUACAGUUUUCUAGUCUACACUUUUGAAGGGAAAGAGACUGCAAAAAAAAAAAAAAAAAAAAAAAGAGAGAGAGAGCAUUAACCUUUAUCAGCUUUCAGCAUUUCAUGCUUUCAAUUUAGAACUGGAUGCUAUUGGCUCUGGAAGGCCAUAGAAGAUGUGGGAAGAGCAUGCACUGUUGCUUCCAUUAUUUUGUAGUGAGAAGGAUGGCUUUGGCGAGACUCUAAACGCUCUUCCUUUAAAAAUCUUAACCUCUGCCUCACUGAUCAGAAGGCUUUGUGGAGACCCAGCAAAGCCUGAUACUCUGUGACAGAAACCAUGCCCACUAUUGAUGCUCAUCUCUGUCAUCUUAAUGGCCUCUAGCAAGAAAGUCUUUAGGCAAGCUAGUGCUUGAAGCUUACCUAAAAUAUAAAGGUAUCCCUGGUGGGGAAAAACUAUGAAGUUUUGCCAAAAAAAAAAAAAAAA